GAAGAAUCCAGAGAUGGAUUUGUGCCUUCGGGAACUGUGAGACAGGUGCUGCAUGGCUGUCGUCAGCUCGUGUUGUGAAAUGUUGGGUUAAGUCCCGCAACGAGCGCAACCCUUAUCCUUUGUUGCCAGCGAUUAGGUCGGGAACUCAAAGGAGACUGCCAGUGAUAAACUGGAGGAAGGUGGGGAUGACGUCAAGUCAUCAUGGCCCUUACGACCAGGGCUACACACGUGCUACAAUGGCGCAUACAAAGAGAAGCGACCUCGCGAGAGCAAGCGGACCUCAUAAAGUGCGUCGUAGUCCGGAUUGGAGUCUGCAACUCGACUCCAUGAAGUCGGAAUCGCUAGUAAUCGUGGAUCAGAAUGCCACGGUGAAUACGUUCCCGGGCCUUGUACACACCGCCCGUCACACCAUGGGAGUGGGUUGCAAAAGAAGUAGGUAGCUUAACCUUCGGGAGGGCGCUUACCACUUUGUGAUUCAUGACUGGGGUGAAGUCGUAACAAGGUAACCGUAGGGGAACCUGC
rnacentral:rRNA from 5 species